rnacentral:rRNA from 1 species
GGUUCGGCCGGGUGGAACACAGGUGCUGCAUGGGCUGUCGUCAGCUCGUGUCGUGAGAUGUUGGGUUAAGUCCCGCAACGAGCGCAACCCUCACCUUUAGUUGCUACCAGGUUAUGCUGGGCACUCUAGAGGAACCGCCGGUGAUAAGCCGGAGGAAGGCGGGGAUGACGUCAAGUCCUCAUGGCCCUUACGGGCUGGGCUACACACGUACUACAAUGGUGGUGACAGUGGGAUGCGAAAGCGCGAGCUGGAGCGAAUCCCCAAAAGCCAUCUCAGUUCGGAUUGCACUCUGCAACUCGAGUGCAUGAAGUUGGAAUCGCUAGUAAUCGUGGAUCAGAAUGCCCACGGUCCGAAUACGUUCCGGGCCUU